rnacentral:misc_RNA from 1 species
GUUAAGCCACUAACCCACCGGUUUCCCGCGAAUAUAGAAUUGCUUCUCCUCCACGGCCCACCGAUUCAACUCAAUCAAAAGCCUACGAUGUUUAUCCUCCGAGUUCACUCAGUGGACGUCGACCACCCUCUCGCUCUCGAGGAGGCCGCCUUCUCCACCGUGUCAACUACCCCAAUCCAGUCAAACCCUACCCAUAACCCUAAAUACAGUGAAAGAAGAGGGGUAGUGCACCUUUAUCGAAACGCAUCGCAGAGCUCAUUACCAAACCCUAGCUCUCGAUCCACUUCUCUCUUCAUCGUAGCUGUCCCCAACUAUCUCUCCGCCGACGACUUUAUCCGUUUCUGCGAGUCCCACAUUGACAAGGUCCAUGAGCUCCUCUUCAUCAGGAACGAUGGGAUGGAAGAUCGGUACAGCGUGUUAAUCAAGCUCAGUGAUCAGGUGACAGCUGAUGGAUUUUAUGGCAACUUCAAUGGGAAGCGAUUUUCCCCUGGAGAGGCUGAGAUAUGCCAUAUUCUAUUUGUCCUUAAUGUGGACUACACUGAGGCUGCUGAGAUAGCCAGCACCCCUCCAGCAGGAUUCACUGAGUUGCCUACUUGUCCAAUUUGCCUUGAGAGAUUGGACCCCGACACUAGUGGAAUACUCAGUACACUUUGUGAUCAUUCAUUUCAAUGUUCAUGCACUUCAAAGUGGACCUAUUUGUCUUGCCAGGUCUGUCGACUUUGUCAGCAGCAGGAUGAGAUACCAGUUUGUUCUGUUUGUGGAACAUCAGAGAAUUUGUGGGUUUGUCUAAUAUGUGGUUUUGUGGGAUGUGGAAGAUAUAAGGAACAGCAUGCUAUAAGGCAUUGGCAAGAUACGCAACAUUUUUAUUCUCUUGAUUUAAGGACACAGCAAAUUUGGGAUUAUGUUGGUGACAACUAUGUUCAUAGACUGAACCAGUCAAAAGCUGAUAGCAAAUUGGUAGAUAUGAACUCUCGCUGUAUGUCGCUCGAGGGAGAUUAUGGCACUUGUGGAUGUAGUGAGGAUUCUGGAAUUAAUGGGGCUCUCUUUAGCAGCAAAGUUGAAACAAUUGUAGAUGAGUACAAUCGUCUUCUUGCGAAUCAGCUGGAAGCUCAAAGACAACAUUAUGAAUCUCUAAUUGCAGAUGUUAAAAGUAAACGGGAAAGUUCCAUUCAAGAAGUGGUGGACAAGGCUGUCACUUCCACAAUGCAGGACAUCCAAACUAAAUUGGAAAAAUGUGAACAGGAAAAAGAUGCUGUUGCAGAGAUCAACCGAAGUCUCAUAAAGAAUCAAGAAAUUUGGCGUAGGAAGGUUAAGGAAGUUGAGGAGAGGGAAGCUUCAUCCCUGCGCUCAAGGGACGAGAGGAUACUCGAUCUUGAAGAACAGAUUCGAGAUCUUACAGUCUACAUUGAAGCCCAGAAGACGCUUAACAACAUGACAGAUACAAAUGAUAUUCGAGGAGGGACACUUUUGCCAGUUCCAUCAAAACAGUCAUCCCCAGCUAACAAUAAAAGGCACACAAAGCCAGGUCGAAGGCGAACUUAGAUAAUCAUCCCUCUUUUCGGAGACUUAUGACCUUUUGUAUUUUGUAUAGUUGAAAACUGCUUCAUUUGUUGGAAUGUUGCUCAUAUCAACUGAAUAGUUUAGACAGGGAAGUGGCAUGGUUAGGUUCUCUUUUUU